CGCACUCUUCGAAGGUCUCACGAAUAGCACUGAUACGAAGUGAAAUUUCUCUUGGCAAUUCGUUUGGUCGUUGAUUAAAGAUAAUUGGACGUGUUUUAACAGUUGGUACCAAAGUGGCGAAGCUGUUCUUGUCGAAGCCGAACGUGGUGUAAAGAUUGUGCCACUUGAGGUCUGCAUCCGACGAAUGGAUCAUCCCUCCAGGAAACACAUAUUUACUCGGCAUGAAUUUGGAGUUUGCUUGGCGUUUAAGGCAGAGCAGAUCGUAAUUAUACUGGAACUGAGAAUUAUUACAUCAGAUGUUCGCAAGACGAUUCGAGUUUCCCGCGUUGUUUUAUCUAAAGCCAGAAAUUUCGUCGUAUCGAUUAUCGCAGGAAACUAACGGAGUUUUACAGAUUUCACCGUACGUAAUUAAAAAGAUGAAUUCGUACUUUGUUACAUACGUUUACUUGAGGCCGAGAACGAACGCAUCUCCUCAUAUGACGUGCUGUUAGGAUUAAACUUGCAGAUUCUUUAAAUCCUUUCAUUUCGUUUAUUUUCAAAGGCACACACGAUUUGGCGGUAUUAUGAAUCUAUAUAAUCGAAAUUCAAAACAUAGCAAUUAAGGUUACGUAACCUAAAUAAUUAUGUCGGUUACGUUACAACAUUAAAUUUCUCGAAUGACGUUGUGAGAUAAAAAGCGAGUAUCGAUUCUUCGAGUUAAGUUUUUCGAGAUUCCAUCUUUAAGUUAAAAACUUCUACCAGAUAAUUUACCAACGCUUUAUCGGAUUUUGUAUACAAUGUUUUCACAACAAUACUUAUUACAGAAUGCUAUAUUUUCUGAUGAAUUAAGUACAUAUAAUUCAUUGAUGAGUAUGUACAAUUUUAGGUAAUAUUACAUUUCUGUAGCAUGCUUGGUGGCAAAAUAACAUCUAUGUACAUGAGAAUUAUAAUUAUCAUAUUCACAACCUACAAUGUGAAACAGCACAUGUUCACAAAAUGAGCAAUGUGCAAAAGUGAUUACACACCAUUUAGAAUACAAUAACUUUCUUAUUUGCGCUCCUUUUUGUAAAUAUUUGUUACUCACUGUCUAGUAAACAAAUCAGUCUGGAAUCUACAAACAAUUAAAAUCAUUUGAUUCAAUUACUCACUUUUGCACAUCACUGUAUGUUACAAUAGACUAUAGCGUAUAACAAUUUAGGAACUGUACAGAGCAGCACUAUUAAAUAUCUGUAUGAAAUUAGAA